rnacentral:rRNA from 1 species
UGGGGAAUAUUGCACAAUGGGCGCAAGCCUGAUGCAGCCAUGCCGCGUGUAUGAAGAAGGCCUUCGGGGUGUAAAGUACUUUCAGCGGGGAGGAAGGGAGUAAAGUUAAUACCUUUGCUCAUUGACGUUACCCGCAGAAGAAGCACCGGCUAACUCCGUGCCAGCAGCCGCGGUAAUACGGAGGGUGCAAGCGUUAAUCGGAAUUACUGGGCGUAAAGCGCACGCAGGCGGUUUGUUAAGUCAGAUGUGAAAUCCCCGGGCUCAACCUGGGAACUGCAUCUGAUACUGGCAAGCUUGAGUCUCGUAGAGGGGGGUAGAAUUCCAGGUGUAGCGGUGAAAUGCGUAGAGAUCUGGAGGAAUACCGGUGGCGAAGGCGGCCCCCUGGACGAAGACUGACGCUCAGGUGCGAAAGCGUGGGGAGCAAACAGG